ACUUCAGCAAAUGUGCACAUUCAUUACAGAAACAUCAUACAAAUAGUUCCAUCCUAAGACAGUGUGUUGACAAAUACUACUAAUCGCUCUAUCAAAACGUCUCACAUUUAGGAACAGUGGGUGUAUGCUUUAUCAGGUACUCUCAUCCUGCACGUUAGAGUUUCAGACACAAAUUGCCCAUAUUGGCCUUCUAAUGGAGGCCAAGUUUCAGACAGCCAGCGAUCUACUACUCCACAAAUACACAGACUCACCAAACCUGGACUACGUCCACCAUUUAUACAAUUAUACUACUGCUAAAUUGCUAUAAAUUCUGUAUUUCACUCGUCUACAGAUAUCACGCUUGCGAAAGCACGCUCAGAACAACCGAAGAAGCGCCAUGGCGGCGAGCGUGGCGGCGGCACCGGAAACCCAGACGGCGCGGCCAUACCCAUACGGCUCGCCGGCGGCGCUGCGUCCGUUGGACCCCGCUGUACCCCCGCUGCCGCCGGUGCUCCCAGGCACGUAACCACCUCUGGCUCCAGGUACGUAACCGCCUCCCCCGCCGCUACCCCCUCUCUGGGGACUGACUCUGCCUCCCCCGCCUGUCCUUCCUCCGCUGCUGCUGCCUCCUCCUCCUCUCGCACCACCGCCACCACCACCACCACCGCCACCACCGCCACCGGCGCUCCACCCUGCUUGGAACUGCGAGGCCACACAGAGCAGCACCACCAUCAUGGCGCAGAGCAGCCUCGCCUGGCCUCUUCCCAUGGCCAUCUCUCUCUCACCCAGCAAGCUUCCAGUCGUACGUUGGGCAGAUGAUGGGCAACAACAGUGCAAUCUCUGGCCGUCGCUAGUCUUCCCUUUGGCUUAGCUAUGGUAUCGUGCGCGCCAUUACCGGACCUUAUAUAUGAACGGCGAGUGGAGCUUAGGGAAGGAGGGGGAAAUUGUUUGUGUGCACGGCAGAUUGGGAGACUGUUCGCCAUAGGCCCAUAGACGUACGCGUAUGGUCGCUCAAUCACGGUCAAGACCGACGGGAAAAAUUUCC
rnacentral:rRNA from 1 species